CGGUCCAGACUCCUACGGGAGGCAGCAGUAGGGAAUCUUCCGCAAGGGCGAAAGCCUGACGGAGCAACGCCGCGUGAGUGAUGAAGGUCUUAGGAUCGUAAAACUCUGUUGUUAGGGAAGAACAAAUUUGUUAGUAACUGAACAAGUCUUGACGGUACCUAACCAGAAAGCCACGGCUAACUACGUGCCAGCAGCCGCGGUAA
rnacentral:rRNA from 1 species